rnacentral:lncRNA from 1 species
GGUUUGGUUUAAGAAUAUGAGAAAGCUGCCUGAUGGAUUGGGGCAACUUCCAUCUCUCCAGGAACUAGUUCUGAAGAGGACAUCACUUGCAAAGAUCUACAAGGGAAAGGAUGCAAGGUCAGUAACAUCCCCUCUUUCCCAGCCUUCAGUUCUGUACUGUUUUGAUUCUGUUGCCAUUUCCAUUCUGAACUUAGUGUGUCAUGCAAUAGUUUUUAGUACAAGCAAAUAAGCUAGGGGUCAUUUUCUCUGUAGGUCCAAAACGGUUUGUGAACUUUGUACGAAGCAAAUCCCUUUUUUUUUGUUGAAUAAUGAUCGAACAAUUCAUGGUUUGACAUCAUUCCUUGAAGCAAAAAAUAAAUAAAUCUCAGCAUAUUUUUUUACAGCCGCAUCUUGAGGAGUAGGGGCAGCCAGCGACAACAGUAGCAGUGGAGAGAGUUGGGGAAGAUGAGCUGCUGUUGCUGGCCGAGGCCAAGCAGAGCACC